rnacentral:rRNA from 1 species
AGCCGCGGUAAUACCAGCUCUCCGAGUGGUGUGGACGUUUAUUGGGCCUAAAGCAUCCGUAGCUGGCUAGGUUAGUCCCUUGUUAAAUCCAGCGAAUUAAUCGUUGGAUCGCGGGGGAUACUGCCUGGCUAGGGGACGAGAGAGGCAGACGGUAUUUCCGGGGUAGGGGUGAAAUCCUAUAAUCCCGGGAAGACCACCAGUGGCGAAGGCUGUCUGCUAGAACGCGCCCGACGGUGAGGGAUGAAAGCUGGGGGAGCGAACCGGAUUAGAUACCCGGGUAGUCCCAGCUGUAAACGAUGCAGACUAGGUGUUUGGACGGCCAAGUGCCGUUCUAGUGCCGCAGGGAAGCUGUUAAGUCUGCCGCCUGGGGAGUACGAUCGCAAGAUUGAAACUUAAAGGAAUUGGCGGGGGAGCACCACAAGGGGUGAAGCUUGCGGUUUAAUUGGAGUCAACGCCGGAAACUUUACCGGGAGCGACAGCAGAAUGAAGGCCAGAUUGAAGGUCUUGCUAGACGAGCUGAGAGGAGGUGCAUGGCC